rnacentral:rRNA from 1 species
GUGUCAGCAGCCGCGGUAAUACGUAGGUGGCAAGCGUUGUCCGGAUUUACUGGGCGUAAAGGGAGCGUAGGUGGAUAUUUAAGUGGGAUGUGAAAUACUCGGGCUUAACCUGAGUGCUGCAUUCCAAACUGGAUAUCUAGAGUGCAGGAGAGGAAAGUAGAAUUCCUAGUGUAGCGGUGAAAUGCGUAGAGAUUAGGAAGAAUACCAGUGGCGAAGGCGACUUUCUGGACUGUAACUGACACUGAGGCUCGAAAGCGUGGGGAGCAAACAGGAUUAGAUACCCCCGUAGUCC